GACGAACGCUGGCGGCGUGCCUAAUACAUGCAAGUAGAACGCACAGUUUAUACCGUAGCUUGCUACACCAUAAACUGUGAGUUGCGAACGGGUGAGUAACGCGUAGGUAACCUGCCUGGUAGCGGGGGAUAACUAUUGGAAACGAUAGCUAAUACCGCAUAAUAUUAAUUAUUGCAUGAUAAUUGAUUGAAAGAUGCAAUUGCAUCACUACCAGAUGGACCUGCGUUGUAUUAGCUAGUAGGUGAGGUAACGGCUCACCUAGGCGACGAUACAUAGCCGACCUGAGAAGGUGAUCGGCCACACUGGGACUGAGACACGGCCCAGACUCCUACGGAAAGCAGCAGUAGGGAAUCUUCGGCAAUGGACGAAAGUCUGACCGAGCAACGCCGCGUGAGUGAAGAAGGUUUUCGGAUCGUAAAGCUCUGUUGUAAGAGAAGAACGGGUGUGAGAGUGGAAAGUUCACACUGUGACGGUAUCUUACCAGAAAGGGACGGCUAACUACGUG
rnacentral:rRNA from 1 species